rnacentral:snRNA from 1 species
AAGGGAUCGCAUUGAUCC